rnacentral:misc_RNA from 1 species
UCUCCGUUGGUGAACCAGCGGAGGGAUCAUUACCGAGUUUACAACUCCCAAACCCCUGUGAACAUACCUUACUGUUGCCUCGGCGGAUCAGCCCGCUCCCGGUAAAACGGGACGGCCCGCCAGAGGACCCCUAAACUCUGUUUCUAUAUGUAACUUCUGAGUAAAACCAUAAAUAAAUCAAAACUUUCAACAACGGAUCUCUUGGUUCUG